rnacentral:rRNA from 1 species
UACGGAGGGUGCGAGCGUUAUCCGGAAUUACUGGGUUUAAAGGGUGCGUAGGCGGCGCUGUAAGUCAGGAGUGAAAGUUUGCGGCUCAACCGUAAAAUUGCUUUUGAUGCUGCGGUGCUGGAAUUAGGAUGAGGUCAGCGGAAUGUGGCAUGUAGCGGUGAAAUGCAUAGAUAUGCCAUAGAACACCAAUUGCGAAGGCAGCUGGCUAGACCUGGAUUGACGCUGAGGCACGAAAGCGUGGGGAGCGAACAGG